AGGACGAACGCUGGCGGCGUGCUUAACACAUGCAAGUGGAGCGACGAACCAGGGCUUGCCCUGGGGCAGAGCCGCGAACGGGUGAGUAACACGUGGGUUACCUGCCUUGAUGACCGGGACAACCCGAGGAAACUCGGGCUAAUACCGGAUGUGCCCGCAAGGGGAAAGGAAGCUUCGGCCUCCGCAUCAAGAUGGGCCCGCGGCCCAUUAGCUAGUUGGUGAGGUAACGGCUCACCAAGGCUUCGAUGGGUAGCUGGUCUGAGAGGACGAUCAGCCACACUGGGACUGAGACACGGCCCAGACUCCUACGGGAGGCAGCAGUGGGGAAUCUUGCGCAAUGCGCGAAAGCGUGACGCAGCAACGCCGCGUGGGGGAAGAAGGCUUUCGGGUUGUAAACCCCUUUCAGUUGGACGAAGCUUCGUCCGGUGAAUAGCCGGACGGAGUGACGGUACCUUCACAAGAAGCACCGGCUAACUACGUGCCAGCAGCCGC
rnacentral:rRNA from 1 species